CAAAAGCUUAGUCCUAACUUUAAUAUCAAUUAUGGCCAGCCCUACACAUGCAAGUCUCAGCGAUCCAGUGACAACGCCCGGCACGCCCACCAGGAGCCGAUCUCAGGCACAAAAAUUAGCCCAUAACAUCUAGCAACGCCACACCCCCACGGGCCCGCAGCAGUGACUAACAUUGCCCAUAAGUGAAAACUUAACUCAGCCAUGGCCAACAGAGUUGGUAAAUCUUGUGCCAGCCACCGCGGUUAAACAAGAAACUCAAAUUGAUAUACCACGGCAAAAAGCGUGACAAAGAAGACUCAAACCACUAAGAUUAAAAACUUUCUUGGCCGUAAAACGCUUCAGAAAAGUAACACACACAAUCAUCGAAAGUAACCUUAAACCCAUGAAAAUUCUGACAUCACGACUGCUAAGACACAAACUGGGAUUAGAUACCCCACUAUGCCUAGCUGUAAACCUCGACCACCUGGUCCGCCAGAGCACUACGAGCAGCAGCUUAAAACUCAAAGGACUUGGCGGUGCCCCAAAUCUACUUAGAGGAGCCUGUUCUAUAAUCGAUAACCCACGUUAAACCUCACCAUCUUUUGAUCCUCAGCCUAUAUACCACCGUCGCCAGCUAGCCUUUUAAAAGAAAUAAAACUAGCCAAACAGGACAGCCCAGAUACGUCAGGUCAAGGUGUAGCACAUAAGAUGGAAGAAAUGGGCUACAUUUUCUUUUUAAAGAAACACGGAAAGUCUCAUGAAAAACAACUCCAAGACGGAUUUAACAGUAAGCGGGACCAAUCAUAUCCCUCUUAAACCAGCCCUGGGGCGCGCACACACCGCCCGUCAUCACUCAUCAAAUACAAACUAAAAAUUAAUAAACAUAACCUAUUCCCCAAGAUGAGGAAAGUCGUAACAUGGUAAGUGCACUGGAAAGUGCCCUUGGAUUAUUAAC
rnacentral:ncRNA from 1 species